AAAAACUGGAGGCAAGAGCUCUUAUUCUGACGUACAAGCAGCCUCUGCCAUUGCUAAAUGUUGCCUGCGAAGCUCAAAAAUCAGCGAAACUUGGAGCAGAACUGGAAAGAGUUGCUCAAAAUGGGAAGGUUUAAAGAUUUAUCCUGAUGUUUCACAUUGUUUUGAAAUUUCUAAAGAAAAUAUUAUAUCUGAGCAUGAAGAAAAAAGGGGAGGAAAUUCACACAAAAGAAGCAGCACCUAGAUUAUCCCAAUGAACCAGAAAAUGUGCCUCAAAGUCAACUGAUGGAAGAUAAUAUUUCAGUUGACCAUAUCCUAGCUGCUUGUGGUAAGACCUCUCAUUCCUAUGUGGAACAACCAGCUGAAAAUUCAUUUUCCACUUUUCCACUUAGUGAAAGCAACAAGCUGCUACCAAAAACUGUAGGAAAAAUGUUAUCCAGCCCUCUACAACAGGAAAUGCCUAGAGCCGGUGAUGUAAAAAGUUCACAUACCUAUGUCAAUUAUGGAACUGGAAUGGGAGAAGAGUUUCAACCCCAACCUUGCUGGUGUUAAGACAGAGGUGUUUGUGAGCCCCACAGCACCAAAUUCACCACCUCCAUUACCACCCGAUUAUUUAUCUCUAGUAAGAGCUUCAAAGAGAACAAAUCCUCCCCCAAUAACACAUUCCCCAAUUCAACUUCCAUCAACUGUUUUCAGAAAUCUAGCAGCAUCAUCACCUUCUGAUUGCCUGCAGACUAUUCUUGAUGCAGCUCUUUCAAUUAUACGACCUUAAGCAGAGUUCUCUCCUCCAGUAUGAGAACUUUUUCAAUAUUAUGAACUGACACCAGAUGAUAUAGUCCCACAAGGUGAAGAUCAGGGGGUUCCUCUACCUUUAUCUCCUCCAGUGACUUCACCUAGAAUUCAAACAAGGGAUGUAGUUACAGAUCUAACUGACUCUGCUUCAGUUGUACAAUGGCCAAGAUCUUCAGUUUUUCAAGCUGUGGGUUCUUCAUUUGCAAAGUCAUCAAGACCUUUAGUUGCAAAAUCACCAAGAUGCUCUGUUCCAUCAAGACUAAGAUUUUCACUUCCACCACCAAGAUACUUGGUUCCACCAUCAUUAGAUUCUUCAGUUGCAACAUUACCAAGAUCUUCAACUCCACAAACACUGCAAAAUUCAGUUCCACUAUCAACAAUAUCUUCAUGUCUACAAACAUCAAUAUCUUUGAUUCCAUCACCAAGAUAUUCAGUUGCCCAGUCACCAAGAUGUUCAGUUGCCCAAUUGUCAAGAUGUUUAGAUACGCAGCCAUCAACAUUUCCAGUUACACAAUUGCCAAGAUCUUCAGUUGCACAACCAACAGGACAUUUGAUUCCCCCACAAACAAGAUCCCCAAGUUUGAAGUCUACAAAAUCUUCCAGUCUAUAGUCACUGUUUUCUUUUGUACAAUCACCACCUUCCAUUUCAAGCCCUUGGGCUCUAUCAGUGUCCUGAUCUUCAUCAGUUCCAGUUUGUCCUGGCUUAAAGCAAUCUCCUCCAUCAACUCUCCCAAUAAUUAAUAAAGAAAGGAGAGACUUGAUGGGAGCAAUAAGAAAAGGUGUUCCGUUACACAACACUAAAGAUCAAUGUGUACCCAAAGUCAAAAUGGAGAUUCCUAAAAGUGAAGCAAGUAGUAUUCUGAUCCAUCGUAAAGCUAUGGAAUAUAGUUCUGGUAAAUCAGACAGUGAGACUGACUUGAUAUAGGAAAACUAAACAAAUAAAUU
rnacentral:lncRNA from 1 species